CCAUUUCCCAGCACUUUAAUGAGUGCGUGGUGGUGGGGGGGGGGAAACAGAGAGGAUACAGGGUGUGUGUAUGGGGGAAGGGGGGUCAGAAGAGUUCCUCAGCGUUGGGGACGCGGGCGUCCCGCAGCUCCCGCAGCCGCUGCAGCACCCGGUGCACACUGUGCUCCCCCAGCUGCCGGUUGUCCCGCGUGCGGAUGCUGACGGUGCCGUUUUCCUGCUCCCUGCGGCCGACCACCAGCUGGAAGUUGUAGUGGGUGAGCUGUGCCCGGCGGAUCUUCCUGCCCAGUGUGGCACCCGCAUCGGCAUCC
rnacentral:lncRNA from 1 species